rnacentral:rRNA from 1 species
UACGUAGGGUGCAAGCGUUGUCCGGAAUUAUUGGGCGUAAAGAGCUCGUAGGCGGCCUGUUGCGUCCGCUGUGAAAUCCCGGGGCUUAACCCCGGGCGUGCAGUGGAUACGGGCAGGCGUGGAGGCAGGCAGAGGAGAACGGAAUUCCCGGUGUAGCGGUGAAAUGCGCAGAUAUCGGGAGGAACACCGGUGGCGAAGGCGGUUCUCUGGGCCUGUACUGACGCUGAGGAGCGAAAGCGUGGGGAGCGAACAGG